UACGUAGGGGGCGAGCGUUGUCCGGAAUUACUGGGCGUAAAGCGAGCGCAGGUGGUUUAAUAAGUCUGAUGUAAAAGGCAGUGGCUCAACCAUUGUGUGCAUUGGAAACUGUUAGACUUGAGUGCAGUAGAGGAGAGUGGAAUUCCAUGUGUAGCGGUGAAAUGCGUAGAUAUAUGGAGGAACACCGGUGGCGAAAGCGGCUCUCUGGACUGUCACUGACACUGAGGCUCGAAAGCGUGGGUAGCAAACAGG
rnacentral:rRNA from 1 species